rnacentral:rRNA from 1 species
CCAGACUCAUACGGGGGCAGCAGUAGGGAAUCUUCGGCAAUGGGGGGAACCCUGACCGAGCAACGCCGCGUGAGUGAAGAAGGUUUUCGGAUCGUAAAGCUCUGUUGUUAAGGAAGAACGAGUGUGAGAAUGGAAAGUUCAUACUGUGACGGUACUUAACCAGAAAGGGACGGCUAACUACGUGCCAGCAGCCGCGGUAAUACGUAGGUCCCGAGCGUUGUCCGGAUUUAUUGGGCGUAAAGCGAGCGCAGGCGGUUAGAUAAGUCUGAAGUUAAAGGCAGUGGCUCAACCAUUGUAGGCUUUGGAAACUGUUUAACUUGAGUGCAGAAGGGGAGAGUGGAAUUCCAUGUGUAGCGGUGAAAUGCGUAGAUAUAUGGAGGAACACCGGUGGCGAAAGCGGCUCUCUGGUCUGUAACUGACGCUGAGGCUCGAAAGCGUGGGGAGCGAACAGGAUUAGAUACCCUGGUAGUCCACGCCGUAAACGAUGAGUGCUAGGUGUUAGGUCCUUUCCGGGACUUAGUGCCGCAGCUAACGCAUUAAGCACUCCGCCUGGGGAGUACGACCGCAAGGUUGAAACUCAAAGGAAUUGACGGGGCCCGCACAAG